rnacentral:rRNA from 1 species
UUCGGUAUGGACGAGGAGGACAGGUGGUGCAUGGUUGUCGUCAGCUCGUGUCGUGAGAUGUUGGUUAAGUCCGCAACGAGCGCAACCCCUACUUUAGUUGCCAGCAUUAAGAUGGCACUCUAAAGGAACUGCCGGUGACAAACCGGAGGAAGGUGGGGAUGACGUCAAAUCAUCAUGCCCUUUAUGUUCUGGGCUACACACGUGCUACAAUGGCCGGUACAGAGGGCGGCGAAGGAGUGAUCCGGAGCGAAUCCCAAAAAGCCGGUCUCAGUUCGGAUUGCAGGCUGCAACUCGCCUGUAUGAAGUCGGAAUCGCUAGUAAUCGCGAGUCAGCAUAUCGCGGUGAAUACGUUCCCGGGUCUU